CAGUAAGUAGUUUAAUAAAAAUAUUAAUUUUGGAGAUUAAUGAUGAGUCAUACCUUUUUACUGA
rnacentral:tRNA from 1 species